GCGGGGGCUCGUCCACGUCCUCCACGCUCACGUGAACGAUGGUGACGUCCUUGAAGGGGCCGCGGUGCCGGAAGGUCGGGUCCAGAGGCGCUGCAUCAUCUACUGGUUUCCAGUUUUCAAAAUUGGCGGUGAAACUUGAGGAUUAGGAAGUGGAGUCAACAAACCAGUUGACGUUAUGGACCGUGUUCAUCUUCUUUACAAAGUCUGUCUGACCGGUCGGCAGCGGCGGCUUACCUGGGCGCUGCACUCUGGACCGCCGCCUAAUCAUCUGGCCUCAAGUCAGGCAGGACAGCUGGGCCCUCAAAGGACCCAGCGCAUCUGCACCGCUGCAGGAAGACGAAGAGGAGGAUGAAGGAGCAGGAACUAAUCGCUCUCCUCGUCUGAUGGGAUGUGCAUAACGAUCCGGCAUCCUGCACUGGCGAGGAGCGGCGGCGAUGUUCUGCAGGAUUAGAAACGUUGAUGUCUGAUCGGUAGUGAUGACGGCGAUGACAACCUGGCGCACGGCGGCGACGCGGGAGAGCAGAUGAUUCUCACAGAUGGUGGAGAAACUUAAAGCUGGCCAUGACUCAUCCCAGUCACCACCUCAACUUUGGCAUGAAUCCCGAUCACGCCCGCAACUCGCUGUCCAACUGUGGCAUCCGCCAACCGAAAUACGGCGACAGGAAGGUCCACCACAUGUACAUGAGGAAAAAAGUAAAACCAGGAGGCUGAAUGUGGAGGCGUUCCCAGUCCAGCCAGGAGACCUCCAGCGUGUCCUGGGCCUCCUCCCAGUGGGACGUGCCCAGAACACCUCACUAAGAACUGAAAU